AAAUCUAUUUAUGUUUCAAGACACACCGGGAGUUUACAACUUGACCCGCGGGAGGAAUCUUCGGAUCCCUCGUUUGGAGAUUUGUGGCAGUCAGCGGAGGCUCGGCGGUGCGGAUCCCAGAUUCACUGUAACCAUUUUUCCUGCACCCUCAAACAACCAAUCACUCUAUCCACGAUCUUAGGUUGACAACGACUGACCAGUCGUGUUCGCACAGGCUCCAUCUCCAGACAUUUGGUCCGAAGGUUUAGUUGUAGAACAAAAGAGUGGGGGGGCGGGGGGUAAAAAAAAACCGCGAAGCUGCUGUCUACGUGGACCGGUGCUGAAGCCUCCCGUCCGACUGCCAGGACCUUUGCCAAAUCCAGAGACAUGGCGACGAACGGCACCAAAGCGGAUGGACAGGUCACAGAACUGAACGAGGUGGCCGCCAACAACGACAAGCCCAAGUCCCUGGACGUGAAGACCGACAAGAAGCAGAAAGACGUCCCCGCCAGAGAAACAUGGGGAGGAAAAUUUGAUUUCCUCCUGUCUUGUGUGGGUUAUGCAAUUGGACUGGGGAACGUGUGGAGAUUUCCCUAUCUCUGCGGGAAAAACGGCGGAGGUAAAUACUUCUUUCACUGUUCAUGUAUGCACACACUGAGUGAGCCAUUCAGAUCAACGAUGCACAUGAUGGAGCUUAUAAUUUAGCGACUCCAGAACAAAAA